rnacentral:tRNA from 1 species
GCGGGCAGAACUCAGUGGUGGAGCGCGUGCUUCGCGGGCAGGAGGUCCUGGGUUCCAUCCCCAGUGCCUCCA